rnacentral:rRNA from 1 species
CCUACAUGAAGCUGGAGUUGCUAGUAAUCGCGAAUCAGCAUGUCGCGGUGAAUACGUUCCCGGGCCCUUGUACACACCGCCCGUCACACCAUGAGAGUUGGCAAUACCCAACGUACGUGAUCUAACCCGCAAGGGAGGAAGCGUCCUAAGGUAGGGUCAGCGAUUGGGGUGAAGUCGUAACAAGGUACC